rnacentral:lncRNA from 10 species
CUGCAGGAAACAGAAAAUGCACUGCCUAGAUGGACCCUCUGACUCCCCACCACCCAGGCUGGAGCGGCAGAGGCUGCCAGGAAGAGCCAGAAAACAGGUCACUGACCAGCUAAUACAGGCCAAGGCUGCUGGGAGGCCAGGAAUAUGGCCAUGAGGAGCACAGCACGAUGUUCCCUCUAUCACGUGUGCAUAUUCUAGUGGAGGAAGACUGACAGUAAGUAGGAACACUCUACUGGUAAGGGGAGAAAUGCCUCAAAUGAGCAUGUGCACAACUUCAGUAAACAUGCUGUGCAUGUGGCCCCUCCCAAGUGCCCGCAGGCCACCACACAAGUGGACAGCCCUGGACAGCCCGCCCCUAGGGAAGAAUCAAGGGAGGAGAAACAGAAGCCCUGGAACUGUGCUAGCAUAUAAAACCCCAAGUCAAGGGCUGAAUGGCACACUUGGAUCUCUCAAGUCACCUGCUUGGCCCCCUUCCAAGUGUAUUUACUUCCAUUUGUUCCUGCUCUAAAACUUUUUAAUAAACUUUCACUCCUGCUCUAAA